ACAUGCUGACUUGUGAUGAGGCAGCCUGGAAAACAGUGGGCAAGGAAAACCCAGGUCAGGGCAAAACAGCCUGUGUCCUCAGAAUAACUGUGUGACACAGUGCAGCCCCUCCCAUCUUCCCAGCCUCUCAUGGGGAUCACUCAGGUGAACUUGACCUCCAGAGGAGGAAUUUGCUGUAGGCAGCUGAAGAACUGCCAUACUGCGCUUCCCAGAGAAAUCAGGGAUUUCUCUUUGCCAGCUCCCAGAAGUGAGGAGCAGAGAGGCCGUAAGUGUCCAGAGAGCUGGAAACAAGCAUUCCCAGCAUGAGGGCUGGCACAGAACUCUCCUGGAAGGUGUCUUAACCUCUGGGAAAAUCCUACAGAAUCACUAUUUCUUGCACUACAUAACAGGUAGGAGGGAGAAACAGCCUUGCAGCCAUGCAGGGAGAGCACAGGAAUGUUCUGAACCCUCUCUGAAGGCUGGCACCAUUGGCACACCCUCUGAACCACCUGAGAGACAGUUGUGUUUUGAAGCAUAGACCUACUUCCAAUGCCACAACUGACUCCAUUCUCAGCUGUGCCUGGCCAGUCUUCAAUCCUCUCUUCACCUUCCUAGCCCAGGUAAAUCCCAAACGUGUGCAAAAUACCCCAGACCACAGCCAGGAGCUGAGCUAACCCUCGGAUACAGAAUAGAAAAAUGCCCCCUGUAUUCCAAAGUGGCUGACAGGUGAUUCCUGCAGGUGCAGGACAGGUGGAUCUAUGCCUGGAGCAGGCCUGGGUGGGGAACAGCAGAGCUACCGGGACUGCAUCCAGCCUCCCUGCUGACUGCUGAGAGGCAUCUGAUGGAAAACACAUCCCCAUGGCCACAGCUGACACUGCCCCUGCUCAUCACUGACUAAAUAUGCAGGAGAAUCAGCAGGUAAUGUGAGGAGACUCUCUGAAGUGGAGAUACUGACACCAGAAGUCAUGGCUGGCCUCCAGUUCAUGAGCGGGAAAUUAAUUCUGAGGUUCAGAAGUCUGAAAAUUGGGAUAUGACUGGGGGAGGCUUUGCACUUAAAAGCAAUUAAAAUAAUUAAAUCAUA